UGUGUGUGUACCUGUUUGACUUCGGCCUGUAGGUGUCUCAGCUGUACACACUGCUCCUGGUGUGUGUGUGUACCUGUUUGACUUCGGCCUGUAGGUGUCUCAGCUGUACACACUGCUCCUGGUGUGUGUGUGUACCUGUUUGACUUCGGCCUGUAGGUGUCUCAGCUGUACACACUGCUCCUGGUGUGUGUGUGUACCUGUUUGACUUCGGCCUGUAGGUGUCUCAGCUGUACACACUGCUCCUGGUGUGUGUGUGUACCUGUUUGACUUCGGCCUGUAGGUGUCUCAGCUGUACACACUGCUCCUGGUGUGUGUGUGUACCUGUUUGACUUCGGCCUGUAGGUGUCUCAGCUGUACACACUGCUCCUGGUGUGUGUGUGUACCUGUUUGACUUCGGCCUGUAGGUGUCUCAGCUGUACACACUGCUCCUGGUGUGUGUGUGUGUGU